CGCCUGAAAGGGGACAAUGGAGGCUGGAGAUAUCGACACCGCAGAAACCGAGUUCAUUUGUGAUGCAGGCCCUUUCACUGCGGUUGUCAUGCAAACUUCCUGCUUUGAUCAGCGGAGGGUGGAGAGGGAGAAAGCCCGCAAAGGCCGCGGGCUCGGCGCGGUCCGGCGCCCUUGGCGGCUCCACGCCCCCUUCCGGAAGGCGCCGCGGGGACGCCGCAUCCUGCACCUUGACCCGUCUAGACGGCCCCGGAGGUUUUGUCUCCGUUACCAAGGGCGAGGGGUGCUCUUUGACCCGCGCCCGGGGCGGCGGUGGUGGCCGCGGGGUCCCGCUGAAUCCUCGCCGGAUUCCGGAGGGAGAGGGGCGCGCGGGGACGUGCACCAGCUGUUCCCAAAGAAAGCAGCGGAGGAGCCCGCCCGCCGGCCCCGGAGAAGGGGAGCCCAUCCCCCUAGCCCAGUCGGAGGCGUUCCUAACGGACCUUUUGGAGAAAGUCUGUGAGCGAAUGAACGACUACAAGCUCGAGGAAGACCCUGUGACGAAGGAGAGAACUUUCAGGAGAUUUGCUCCUAGGAAAGGAGACAAAAUAUACCAAGAAUUUAAAAAAUUCCAUUUUUAUUCUGAUGCUUACAGACCUUUGAAAUUUGCGUGUGAAACUAUAAUAGAAGAGUAUGAAGAUGAAAUAUUCUCACUUAUCGCCCACGAGGCACACUAUCUAGCUGACAAGCUGUGCAGUGAAAAGUCAGGUACUGUGUCUGAUGUAACAUGUGCUCGCUGCUGGAACACCCUCUCUCUCUCACUCAGCCUUGCAGCGUCUUGUUUGCAGACCGGGCCUCUCUGCCUCGCUGCGACCCACGGCUCUGACACAGGCUCCCCCGUCUCCGCUGAAUCAGAAACGACAGCAUGUGAGAGAAAACAGAUAAACAGAAACCACAGGGCUGUGAGGUCUUCUGUUCUUUCCUCUACCCGUUCAGGGAAUUCAAACAUUCUUGAUUUCUAGUUGUUAAGGAGAAAAUUCUUAUUCAGAAAUGGAAGACUCCAAAGCACUUUCUUUUUAAAAACUUUGAGAGAUACGAUUUUUCCAUCCUGGACCAGGGAAAGAGACUCUCACUUCAUAGCUAGAGUAUCUGCUACACCAGCAGAAGAUCUGUGUGAAACUUCUACUAAUCACUCUGAGCUCUAGGAACGCCGUGCUGCUAGUUGCAGAGAGGAGUAGUCACACCCCAAAGGUAAAGCUGAGGAGUACAUAAAGUUAAAUUAGCCUUUGCAGAUUUUGAUAAAUCAAGCUUGACAAUAAAGCAUUUAAUUCUGUAUUGGGGAAAAUAGUGAAGACAUUUCAUAAACAAAACAGGGAUUUCAUAAAGUAUGCUGUUUAUUUCCUAACAGUGCAUGUGCACAUGUGCAGCUGCAGUACUCUCUCUGAUAAGAACCAGAUUUGAAUUCUCAAAUACUUGAUUGGCUGUAAGUUUAAGGAAAUACAUGGCAACAAAUUCAAAAUGUGUUCUUGUGGGUGAGAUACGGCUACUGGUGACAGAAACAAAUCUACUGUUUAUCAGCCAUGAAAUUUAAAUUUCUAGAAACCACAAGUUUAAAAACUUCUCAUUUCUAAAGUUUAGUGAAAUGUGUAAAAACUAAUGAAUGCUUUAAUUUAUAGUGAACACUAAUUAUGUUGGCCUCUCUUAAACACCAUUCUAAGUUUAAAUGAUUUAGAAAGUUGAUUUAUUAUUGCAUCAUGUGUUAAAAGAUACUGUGUUUUGUUUGUUCCAAACUCUCCUGGUUGGUUUGUUUUUCUUAUAAAGUUUUUUUUUUGGCUUACAGUUAGUGUGUUGAGUUUACUACUAAAUAAUCUACCAUUCCUCUAUAGGAAUGGAAAGGGAGGAGGGACCUGGUGGGACAUUAUCUUUUGGCCACACUUAAUAUACAAAGUAUAGUAACAAUCACUCCUGGAAGUUUCAUGAUCUCUUUUAAAUUUGCAUUCAAUGGAAUCUGACUUUAAUGAUUAAAAAUGUCAGUGUAUAGGCUACACCAGUUUCUAAAAAGAGAUUCUCAUUGUCUUUGGUGUGAAUCAAGCGGGUAGGAUGCUACGAAGUCUUCCCGGAAGACCUAAAACUGUUCACCAUAUUGUUACUUAAUUGCCUAAAAAGCACAUUAUGUAUUUAAACCAUUCUGCUGACUCCAGCAGGAAACAAUUCUUAAAUUUAGGAAAAUUUACCAAAACUAAAGGGAAGGGCUUUCAUGCCUCCUCCCCACGUCGACUCUUAUUAAAAGUAAGUUAAUAUCACUUAAUUAUUUGGGUGCUUUUUUUUUAAUAUAUGUGGCUGCUUAGGUAUGAUGACUCCUAGAUAAAGAAAGCCACACUCUAGCUGGCACACGAUGGAAACUGAACUGAAUAAUAAUUGCUAUUUUCCAAUAGGGUAGGGCAAUUGUUAUUUAAAACAUAGUCCCCGUAGCUUUAUUGAAAUGUAUCUAGUUAAGAUUAAUUUGGCAUUUAAAGUAGUAAAUCAUGAACAUUCUCCUAACGUGGGUUUUCUUGGGAAAUGCACUAGACAGGAAAAUUAUUCCUUAAAACCUAAGUGACCUUCAGGAGCAUGGUGGGAUUUAUGGCAAUAAGUCAGCUUCUGUGAAAAAUGUUAGCAGUUGUGAUUGUAGAAGAGUUGCCAAAUUUGUUUUCAUAUGCUUUUUGAUCAUUAUUGAAAAUUCUCGAAUGUAGACAAUACUAACACUUAUUAUAGAAAUUAAUUUUGUGGGCUCCUGUUUGUAAGCUAAACAGACUUGGGAAGGUACACCUUCUCUCACUGAGGGGUGCCUUUCAUUGACGGUGAUGGUUUACUUUGACUGGAGAGGACCAGGCACCUUGGCUCACAGCGAAUAUCUGAGGUUUUGCUAAAUUGGGCUUUUCAGUUUUUUUCUUGGAUUUCCCUUUAAAAGUAGUCGUGUAUCUUGCCAA